AGUAAUGCGUGACCAACCUGCCCCAUGCUCCAGAAUAGCUCUUGGAAACGGGUGGUAAUGCUGGAUGCUCCAACUUGACGCAUGUCUUGUUGGGAAAGUGUUUAGUGGCAUGGGAUGGGGUCGCGUCCUAUCAGCUUGUAGGCGGGGGUAAUGGCCCACCUAGGCUUCGACGGGUAGCCGGCCUGAGAGGGCGGACGGCCACAUUGGGACUGAGAUACGGCCCAGACUCCUACGGGAGGCAGCAGCA
rnacentral:rRNA from 1 species